rnacentral:rRNA from 3 species
UACGGUGACGAUGGCAAGAAGGACCCACCUGUAUCCAUCCCGAACACAGCAGUUAAGCUUCUUAGCGCCGAAUGUAGUUGGGGGUUGCCCCC